GAAAAGUGCGCAUUAGCAAAUACGUUUUACUACUUUCACAUUCUUAAAUUAGUAUCACCGCCUAGAAAAAUACAAACCUAAUGGUAGUUUAAAAAGACAGCCAGAAUGUAGCACGUGGGUUUCAGGGAAUUUGUAAAAAGCAUCAGAAUGCUCCUGGCCUACUGGACAUCAAAACGCGUUUACCAAUUUUCUCAGGAAAUGAUUUUAUUCAUAAGCGUUUCAAAGGUAAACUUCAAUGCAGCAGGAUCAAAAAAACAACAAUUACUGAAUCAGUGUGGGUGUAAUCAAAACCUUAUGUCUUUUAUUUUCUGACUGCUACAAUAAGCAGUGUACACUCAGCUGUCACUUCCUGAGGAUAACAGGUAUCUAAAUUACAACUUGCUCCAUUUGUUUCUGACCUAGGAAACCACAGGCUGUUGUGACACCUAUUUCGGUGUC
rnacentral:lncRNA from 1 species